rnacentral:rRNA from 1 species
GACGAACGCUGGCGGCGUGCUUAACACAUGCAAGUCGAACGGAAAGGCCCUGCUUGCAUGGUACUCGAGUGGCGAACGGGUGAGUAACACGUGGGUGAUCUGCCCUGCACUUCGGGAUACGCCUGGGAAACUGGGUCUAAUACCGGAUAGGAGCCAUUUUUAGUGUGAUGGUUGGAAAGUUUUUUCGGUGUAGGAUGAGCUCGCGGCCUAUCAGCUUGUUGGUUGGGUAAUGGCCUACCAAGGCGGCGACGGGUAGCCGGCCUGAGAGGGUGGACGGCCACAUUGGGACUGAGAUACGGCCCAGACUCCUACGGGAGGCAGCAGUGGGGAAUAUUGCACAAUGGGAGCAAGCCUGAUGCAGCGACGCCGCGUGGGGGAUGACGGCCUUCGGGUUGUAAACUCCUUUCGCUAGGGACGAAGCUUUUUGUGACGGUGCCAAGAUAAGAAGCACCGGCUAACUACGU